rnacentral:rRNA from 1 species
GACGAACGCUGGCGGCGUGCUUAACACAUGCCAGUCGAACGGAAAGGCCCUGCUUUUGUGGCGCUCACGUGUGGCGAACGGGUGAGUAACACGUGAGUAACAUGCCCCUGUCUUUGGGAUAACUUCAGGGAACUGGGGCUCUUACCGGGUAGAAGCUCCUGCUGCGUGGUGGGCGUUGGAAAGUUUCGGCGGUGGUGGAUGGAUUAGCGGCUUAUCAGCUGGUUGGUCGGGUAGUUGCGUACGAAGGCUGCGACGGGUAGCCGGCCUGAGAGGGUGACCGGCCACAAUGCGACUGAGAUACGGCGCAGAAUCCUACGUGAGGCAGCAGGGGGGAAUAUUACACAACGGGCGGAAGCCAGUUGCAGCAACGCCGCGUGCGGGAUGACGGCCUUCGGGUUGUAAACCGCUGUCGCCUGAGACGAAGCGUGAGUGACGGUAAUGGGUAAAGAAGCACCGGCUAACUACGUG